rnacentral:rRNA from 1 species
GAUGAACGCUGGCGGCGUGCCUAAUACAUGCAAGUCGAGCGAACAGAUGAGGAGCUUGCUCCUCUGACGUUAGCGGCGGACGGGUGAGUAACACGUGGAUAACCUACCUAUAAGACUGGGAUAAAUUCGGGAAACCGGAGCUAAUACCGGAUAAUAUAUUGAACCGCAUGGUUCAAUAGUGAAAGACGGUUUUGCUGUCACUUAUAGAUGGAUCCGCGCCGCAUUAGCUAGUUGGUAAGGUAACGGCUUACCAAGGCAACGAUGCGUAGGCAACCUGAGAGGGUGAUGGGUCAAACUGGAACUGAGACGCGGUCCAGACUACUACGGGAAUGCGCAGUAGUGAAUCUUCCGCAAUGGGCUAAAACCUGACGGAGCAACGGCGCGGGAGUGAUGGAAAUAUUCGUAUCGUAAAACUCUGUUACGAGGGAAGAACAAAUGUGUAAGUAACUAUGCACGUCUUGACGGUACCUAAUCAGAAAGCCGCGGCUAACUACGUG